GUUUUUUUAACUCCUUGGAUUGUACUAUUUAAUGACGAAAGAUGUCAAAUUCAAAAUUUAAACUAACUGGAGAAAACACCAACCUUGCUCGUGUGGCGCAGAUGAUAUUGGGUCCAUGCACUAACGUACUACGUGAUGUUCUUAGGAAGGAAAUUUCUCCCUCCAAUUUGGAAACGAAAGUCAGAGCUUAUAUUGCUAAAACAAAGAAACCACUGAUCAACCAACACCAAGAGACACUCGUCUACAGUAAAGAUUACUUAAAAUUCGAUGUUACGUUACUGUACUUUUUAUUACGGAAUAUGUGCUCAAUCCAACCGCAUUCAAACAAAUGGGGAAACAACCCACAAUCCGGAGAUAGAAGUGUGUCAGGAAACAUCGAACGGAUUCGUCUGAUAAGAAAUGAAUAUGGACAUCAUUCGGAAAGAUCUAUCUCCGAUACAGACUUUAAAAUAAAAUACCAAUAUAUUAAGGGCAUUGUUAAAGAGGUGGAGAACUACUUAGGUAGUUCUACUAAAUACCAGGACGAGGUAAAGGAACUGAAAAUUUGUACCAUGGAUCCUACUCAAAGCGAAAAAAAUAUCAAAGAGCUUCUUGACCUCCAUGAAAAAAUCAAAGACAUUUCAGAGGAUGUCAAAGAAAUGAAGAAGACAGUUCUUCCAUGGAAUAUAAAAGUUAUAUAUGAAAAGGACGUUCUUAAAUGGAAAGAAGAUGACGUUUUUUUUGUUGAAACCCACAACUUUUACGCGAUGCUAAACAAAGUUAGACAGCAUCCGUUUGUGACGUUUGUUGGUGUCCCUGGCUCAGGAAAAACAGCUACAGCCCGCCACAUUGCCCUUCUACUGCAAGCGAAAGACGGGUAUGAAAUAUUACCAACCAAAGACAUAAAGGACAUUGAAACGUAUUGUAACCCUCGCAAUCCACAAGUGUUUGUUAUUGAUGAUGUCCUAGGUGUGUUUGGGUUUGACAUGAAGGAACUUGAGAAGGUCACCAUGUAUAAAGAUAGAUUAAAUGAACCUACAAUACCAGCCACCAAGUACAGGGUACAGAUUGUAAAAAAAGAAAUGAAUCAGAUAUUGAUGAUAACAGUACAGGGAGAUGUGAUGUGUCAGAAGAGUCUGAAGAUGAAUCUUGGUCCGAUUUAUGCUCCGAAAAAGGCGAUGAAUGUUUGGGGACCGAAGAAAUCUUAA
rnacentral:sRNA from 1 species